rnacentral:tRNA from 1 species
GGGCGUGUCGUAUAGCGGCAAUUACACCGCGCUGUAAACGCGGCGUCCUCACGGACUACGCAGGUUCGAGUCCUGCCGCGCCCACCA